rnacentral:rRNA from 1 species
UACGGGGGGGGUAAGCGUUGUUCGGAAUUACUGGGCGUAAAGGGCUCGUAGGCGGCCAACUAAGUCAUACGUGAAAUCCCUCAGCUUAACUGGGGAACUGCGUGUGAUACUGGAUGGCUUGGAUGUGGGAGAGGGAUGCGGAAUUCCAGGUGUAGCGGUGAAAUGCGCAGAUAUCUGGAGGAACACCGGUGGCGAAGGCGGCAUCCUGGACCAUUAUUGACGCUGAGGAGCGAAAGCCAGGGGAGCAAACGGG